rnacentral:rRNA from 1 species
GAGUUUGAUCUUGGCUCAGGACGAACGCUGGCGGCGUGCUUAACACAUGCAAGUCGAACGGGAUCCAUCCAGUGGCAACACUGGUGAAGAUCUAGUGGCGAACGGGUGAGUAACACGUGAGGAACCUGCCCUGAAGAUCGGGAUAAGCCGGGGGAAACCUGGUCUAAUACCGAAUGUCUCCGUCUGGUCGCAUGGCCGGACGAAGAAAUGGAUUCCGCUUCAGGAGGGUCUCGCGGCCUAUCAGCUUGUUGGUGGGGUAACGGCCUACCAAGGCUCCGACGGGUAGCUGGUCUGAGAGGACGAUCAGCCACACUGGGACUGAGACACGGCCCAGACUCCUACGGGAGGCAGCAGUGGGGAAUCUUGCGCAAUGGGCGAAAGCCUGACGCAGCAACGCCGCGUGGGGGAUGAAGGCCUCGGUUGUAACCCUUUCUACGCAGGAACGAAACGUAGACGGUACCUCGCACGAAGAAGGUACCGGCCGAACUACGU